rnacentral:lncRNA from 1 species
GAAUCGGAACAACUGGAUGAAAGAUGAUGGUGUUUCGUUCCGUCUCAUAACAUGUAAAUGUUCGUGAUCUUCCAAUCGUCAAUGAAAGAUGAGGAAAAUGAUUUUCGCUGUGAUGUUUGCCUGAAGAGGAAGAAACUUCAGCAAAGUUUCAAGGAAGGGAAGACUACUCUAACCAAUUCUGGACAGUCAAGUGGAGACUACUGCUUAAUGAGGAAGAUGGCGGCUCAUGUUUUGCUUUUGGAUUUGGAAAGAGACAUUUUAUUUGUUUGUGAUUUGCUAUGA